ACCAAGUCACUCUUCAACUUGCCUGACACCCUUGGGCCUGAGCACCUGACAGAAUGAGAGAGAGGAACAGGACAGAAGGAGAGAUGAAAAGAAAAAAGAGAAAAAAUGAAACUAGCGGUGUUGGUCCAAUAAAAUAAACAUCCAAAAGCAGCAAUUGUCUUCAACUAGGAGCAUCUAAAAUGUCACAAAGCAGCACGUGAUCCUUGGGAGAACAUUUACAUCUUGGAGAACAUUUAAAUGACCCAAUAACAUGGGUGGGGGGCAGUCAUAUGGAUCUUUCCCAUGGAAUCAGAACUAUGUUGGGAGCUCCCCUGGAAUAAACAGCUCUCCCAUGGCUUGGAGGAUGUCUAAAGGCCACUUCGAGAUGGACAUGGUUUAAUUACAGUGGGAGCAUGCAAUCAGAAGGGCUGUUGGUCCCCUUUAGGCACUUUAUGUGCUGAGCUAGUUUUGAUGUAUACUAUAAGAGAAUACGGAAAAUAAAUUAAAUGUUGUCUUGCCUUCUAAUAAUGAGUGGAAGUUUUGUUUAUGAAGUUACAGGGUAUCUCACACUUCCUCCGACAUCUCAAAGCAGACAUGUUUUGGUAAUAUGCAAAUUUAUUUAAUUUUAAUUUAAUUUUUAAUAAUUUCAGCAGUCAAAGAGUAGAUGAUUAAUCAGGGAGGGUUUUUUGACAACUCUCUGCUAUAUACAUGGAGCUACAUUGACUUGAGAGGACGGAAGAUUCAUAAAGAAUAUUGAUAAUGGGGAUAACAUAUAAGAAUAUGAUUUUUAAUGAUACCUUCUCUGCAGUUAAUAUUUGUGUUCAAAUAUAAAUGUGCCUGUUAUAUGCAUCAGAUUAAAAUAAAGAGAUCCAAAACAAUGUUCGGCAUCCAGACUAAAUGAGUCAACUGUACUUACUCAGGAGUUACUCUACAGAACUACUUAAUUUCGGUAGGACUGCUCAAGAGUUAUUUAGUCUGGAUGUUCCCCAGGGUAAAUUAGUGUUUCGGAUAAACAACCUUUGGGUAAUUGCAGAAUUUAAUAUGGUUGUCAAAACAAACCAAUGGCCUACAUUUUCUUUGCACUUUUGAAACAUGCAUUAGUGAAUAGCCACUGAUCAAGUUUAAUACUAUUGAUAUCUCAGCUUUUAAAAAUUAUUGGUGCAUUCUUUUUAUUUUAUAUCUUAGUUGUUGUAACAGUGAAAAAACUGUUCACCAUAUCACCAUCAUCUUUUUAACUCUGGUGGGGAGAAUUUAGUGGGAAAGGGCUUUUUAAUAUAGAGGAAAAAGUUACAUGUUUGCCUCUUGUUUAACUAGUGGUCCCUCUAGUGGCAUCAGAGCAGCAAUACUGGCAAAAUAAAACCAACAACCUCCGAUCCCGACACAUUAUUUCAUCCAAUACUAAUGAUCAAAAUACUUUGCUUAACUCAAUUUCUUCUAAAAAGCAUGUUGCACAAUGUUCUGCAGAAACAGAUACUAUCAUUCUUAACAAGUAAAACUGUUAGUUAAAACAUGUGACAAGCUAUAGUGGAUAUGAAGGCAAAGGUAUGAGUGAUGCAAGAACAGACGUGUACCUUAAAUUCAUUACCUUUUUUUUGUUAACUUGUAACUUUACCUUUGAUCAUAAAGUUCACAUCCUGCAUGUAAGAUUUCUAAAGGUAAUGAUCUUUUAAGGAAUCCUCUUUCUGUUACUAUUUUUCUUAUUUCAUUUUCUUCCUUCCUUCUCCCCACCAUUUCCCUAAUCUGCAGCAUUGUGUUUAAAAUUUGCUGUGCCCUCUAACUUUACCUCUUAUUUUGUCCUUGUAAACCACAUAAACACCUUAAGUCCAAACUAUCUUUUUGCUUCUUCUUUUUUUAACCUUGCUUACCAUUCCCAGGUUG